CCUACGGGAGGCAGCAGUGAGGAAUAUUGGUCAAUGGGCGCGAGCCUGAACCAGCCAAGUCGCGUGAGGGAAGACGGUCCUAUGGAUUGUAAACCUCUUUUGUCGGGGAGCAAAAGACGCCACGCGUGGCGUUCCGAGAGUACCCGAAGAAAAAGCAUCGGCUAACUCCGUGCCAGCAGCCGCGGUAAUACGGAGGAUGCGAGCGUUAUCCGGAUUUAUUGGGUUUAAAGGGUGCGCAGGCGGAAGAUCAAGUCAGCGGUAAAAUUGAGAGGCUCAACCUCUUCGAGCCGUUGAAACGGGUCUUCUGGAGUGAGUGAGAAGGAUGCGGAAUGCGGGGGGUAGCGGUGAAAGGCAUAGAUAGCACGCAGAACUCCGAGUGCGGAGGGAGCAUACCGGCGCUCAACGGACGCUCAUGCACGAAAGUGUGGGUAGCGAACAGGAUUAGAUAACCGAGUAGUC
rnacentral:rRNA from 1 species